UACGGGGGGGGGUAAGCGUUGUCCGGAAUCAUUGGGCGUAAAGCGCGUGUAGGCGGUCCGGUAAGUCCGCUGUGAAAGUCGAGGGCUCAACCCUCGAAUGCCGGUGGAUACUGUCGGGCUAGAGUGCGGAAGAGGCGAGUGGAAUUCCUGGUGUAGCGGUGAAAUGCGUAGAUAUCGAGAGGAACACCUGCGGCGAAGGCGGGUAGCUGGGCCGUAACUGACGCUGAGGAGCGAAAGCAUGGGGAGCGAACAGG
rnacentral:rRNA from 1 species